GCCCUCGUAGUGAAAUGGAUAUCAUACCUGCCUUCGGAGCAGGGGGUCCGGGUUCGAAUCCUGGCGAGGGCA
rnacentral:tRNA from 1 species